rnacentral:rRNA from 1 species
UACGUAGGCAGCAAGCGUUGUUCGGAGUUACUGGGCGUAAAGGGUGCGUAGGUGGCUCUAUAAGUAUGGUGUGAAAUCUCCCGGCUUAACUGGGAGGGUGCGCCGUAGACUGUGGGGCUAGAGUGUGGGAGAGGAAAGUGGAAUUCCUGGUGUAGCGGUGAAAUGCGUAGAUAUCAGGAGGAACACCAAUAGCGAAGGCAGCUCGCUGGGACGUUACUGACACUAAGGCGCGAAAGCGUGGGGAGCGAACAGG